rnacentral:rRNA from 1 species
ACAAGCAGUGGAGUAUGUGGUUUAAUUCGAAGCAACGCGAAGAACCUUACCAGGGCUUGACAUCCCUUGAAGCAGCUAGAGAUAGCUGUGUCCUUCGGGACAAGGAGACAGGUGGUGCAUGGUUGUCGUCAGCUCGUGUCGUGAGAUGUUGGGUUAAGUCCCGCAACGAGCGCAACCCUUACGGUUAGUUGCCAGCGGGUUAUGCCGGGCACUCUAGCUGAACUGCCGUUGACAAAACGGAGGAAGGUGGGAUGACGUCAAAUCAUCAUGCCCUUUAUGUCCUGGGCUACACACGUGCUACAAUGGCCUGUACAGAGGGAAGCGAAAGGGUGACCUGGAGCGAAUCCCAAAAAGCAGGUCUCAGUUCGGAUUGCAGGCUGCAACCCGCCUGCAUGAAGUCGGAAUCGCUAGUAAUCGCAGGUCAGCAUACUGUGGUGAAUACGUUCCCGGGCCUU